CGAUAUCUUCUGGGCGUCUCCCCACUUCUCCAACGCUCCCUUUCCUUCACUUCAUCCCGGUUCCUUAGCCCCAGCUUUUCCAGACACCCCACCGUCCUCUACUCCCCUCCCCCGCUCUUUCUGGCCUUAGGCGCUUGUCCUCUUGGGAAUUGUAGUUCUCUCCUCCUCGGGCUGACGCGUUAAGGAGACCGAAGACAAAGGGACCGAGGCGUGCAUGCCCGUGGGAUAGCUGAAUUAAGGGGCUAACCCCUGGAGGACUGUUACCCUGUCCACCUCAGCAAGAUUCCAGUUCCCCUCCGCACCUCGAAGUUCUUGGGCUUGACUAGGUGAAAUUGUGAAACGACAGAUACCAGUUGGACAUACUGGUUAAUUUCCAGGAAGAUUGCAACUGUCUUCAGGGUGACUCUGGAGGGCCCCUUCUUCCUUUCCAGAGGUAUGCUGAAGAUUCAAUUCAGCGACCGAGAGCCUAUUCGCAGCCUAACACUGGGUUGUUUUUGGAGGAUUGUAGGAUUUGAGAGCUGGCAGAGAGGCAGGCAGCAAGACUGGGAGGCAACUUCCUUCUGGAGAUGUUAAUGGGUAAGCAGGAAGUGUAUCAGGUGAUAGGUGUUCGGAGAUGGAGUCAGGGGCCAAAACACAAGGAGUGCGGAAUGGCAGGCCAAGGAUUCAGGCCAAAUCUGAACCACUCAGGCCUAGAGCAUCCCAGAGCCAUGGGAAUGAACCUUCCAGCCAACUCUAGUUGUUCACAUGUACAUGAAACAAAUCAGUAAUUCAGGCCCCAGAUGCUGAAUCUCAGGAACUUCCUGGCACAUUUCAAGCCACCUCUCUGACCUCUCCACCCCAGUUCCUUCCCCCAUUGGUCUACUGCGCUUGAAAAAAAGAAGAAAAAAGCCAGCUCAAGCCAAAUCUGUUUGGGAAAAGUAAAGCAGAUGCAAAGUAAAGGUUAUUCCACAGCUAAAAAGGGAUGACAUCUGCACUCUCCAUAUCGAGGCUUCCCUCCAGUGGUGCAGGGGAGAGCUGGUCUUGCCUUCCUUUCCUUUUGAUUUAAGGCUCUAGGUUUAAAACUGCCCAGCAGCCCCUCUGUGUUUAGAGCGCUUCUUCGGAGGCUGCAACAUGACAUAGUAAAUGGGCUAAUGGGCUGGAUUCCCCCUUGACUGCCUGAUGGUGCUUCAAGAAACCUGGAGCUGGGAGCUAGAGAAUUAGCAUUCCGGCUUCUGCCUGCCCCCACCCCACCUCUACAUCUAAGGCCUGUCUUCCCUCUGGAUCUCAGUUUCCCCACCUUUAAAAUGAGAAUUAAACUAAAUGAACACUAAGUGCCCCACCCAGCUGUGAUGAGUCAUAGUGCUAGAUUAGGCUUGUUCUGAAAUGAAAGCUAUUGGCAUUCUUUAUAGAAACAGAGGGGACGGGGUCUGUGACUGCAACCUGGGAGAUGAUUAAGGCCCACAGUGCAAGAGGCUCAGAAUCAUUGCUG